CCUACGUGAGGCAGCAGUGGGGAAUAUUGCGCAAUGGGCGAAAGCCUGACGCAGCGACGCCGCGUGAGGGCUGAAGGUCUUCGGAUCGUAAACCUCUGUCAGCAGGGAAGAACAGUCACUGUGCUAAUCAGCAGUGAAUUGACGGUACCUGCAAAGGAAGCACCGGCUCACUCCGUGCCAGCAGCCGCGGUAAUACGGAGGGUGCGAACGUUAAUCGGAAUUACUGGGCGUAAAGCGCUCGUAGGCGGUAUGUCAAGUCAAGGGUGAAAUCCCCGCGCUCAACGUGGGAACUGCCUUUGAAACUGGCAAACUGGAGUGUGUGAGAGGAUAGUGGAAGUCCAGGUGUAGGAGUGAAAUCCGUAGAUAUCUGGAGGAACAUCAGUGGCGAAGGCGACUAUCUGGCACAUAACUGACGCUGAGGAGCGAAAGCGUGGGUAGCAAACAGGAUUAGAUACCCCAGUAGUC
rnacentral:rRNA from 1 species